AAGAAGACACAUUUUGUAAUCACAACUCACAACACAACAGUAAUUUCUCCUAUUGAUAUGUAAAAAAUGUAACAAUCAUUAAACAUAAUAUAAUUCAAAAUAAAUUCCCUGUAGCAAUAUUUCUUGCGUUGAUGCAAAAUGCUUUUUGAGAAAUUGCCAGAGGUUAAAACGUGUUGUUGCUGUUUGCCCCUAAAAUUAGGAGUUGUAUUAAUUGCUUCAUAUUUCAUAAUUCUCAGCCUACUGGAACACGGUGUGAACGUACAAGUAAACGAUCUGUCUAACGAAUCCUGCUACGCCUCCAUGUAUGGUAUCGAAUGCCGGUAUAAAUACACGAUGCAGUACUUGGUCUACCUUGUGUAUUUCCAGGCUUUCAUGGCGUUCCUGCCGAGUUUUUUUCUUAUUAUGGCUGUAAUUAUUAAAAAUCGCGUAAUAGUCACUUGUUUCAUGUAUUUCAUCACACUUGCUGUGGUCAUCGACUUCGCUAUAGACAUGGCGAUGUUGACGUUCAACGUGACAGAACCCGCUUGUAGGACUCACGAUAAAACCAUAAUUUUUCAAUGUGUUUCUGUACACGUUUUAGUUUGGAUUCUUUUUAUAUACUUUACAAUAGUAGUAAAAAGUUAUAGAACAUCGAUAAAAGAAUAUCACUCACGUCACGACGUAACCGAUAGCCACGGAAAUAAAAUACUAACAGAUAAAAAUGACAACAUAGCUAAAUAUGGAAGAAUUAAAGUAACCAGAAUAUAUAGUAACGAUUUAAAUACAGAAAGUGCGCUCAAGAGUGAUGAGAAUAAAGAUGAUGAGAAUAAAAGUAAUACAAAAAGGAAAAAAUCUACUCAAAUCGCCCCACAUUUUUACAAAACUAGUAAAAAUGUUUACAACCUACGUAUCAGUUCUAACAGAGCUACAGAUGAGGAAGAAAAUAACAAUUCUGUAACAGAUGAUAGUAAAUCCAAAAAGAAUAUCCG